rnacentral:rRNA from 1 species
CCUACGGGAGGCAGCAGUAGGGAAUAUUGGACAAUGGGCGAAAGCCUGAUCCAGCAACGCCGCGUGCGCGAUGAAGGCCUUCGGGUUGUAAAGCGCUUUUCGGGGGGAUGAGGAAGGACAGUACCCCCGGAAUAAGUCUCGGCUAACUACGUGCCAGCAGCCGCGGUAAAACGUAGGAGGCAAGCGUUAUCCGGAUUUACUGGGCGUAAAGCGCGUGCAGGCGGUUCGGUAAGUCGGACGUGAAAGCUCCUGGCUCAACUGGGAGAGGCCGUUCGAUACUACCGAACUAGAGGGCAGGAGAGGGAGGUGGAAUUCCGGGUGUAGCGGUGAAAUGCGUAGAUAUCCGGAGGAACACCAGUGGCGAAGGCGGCCUCCUAGUCUGCCCCUGACGCUCAGACGCGAAAGCUAGGGGAGCGAACGGGAUUAGAAACCCCGGUAGUCCUAGCUGUAAACGAUGCGGACUUGGUGUGGGUGGCUUAAACUCCAUCCGUGCCGUAGCUAACGCGAU